CUUUAAAUGUCUGAUGCUACAACUGCCACAUCUCUUCCGAUCGCCAAAUACUUCCUCCCUGAAGUCCCUGGAAGAAGAUUGCAACAUCUAGUAGAAGAUGGUUGAGAAAGCUAAGGAUAAGAAAGCUCAGCUAUCUUCUCUGAAUAAAGGCGGCUGAUAAGGAGCAGAGCCAGCCUCCCGAAACUAAGAUCCUAACAUUUAACCAGGAUGCCACUCUGCCUCCUUGAGGAUUUAGGGCACAGACCCAUUCAGAAGACACUAUAAGCAAACCGGUUGGCGUAUAAAGUACUAAGUGGAUUUCAUCAUCGUAUCUUUCCCUUUGGUUAUGCCCUGCCGAGUCUGAGGCCGAUUAUGGUUUUGAAACACUGUCGUCUCCUUCGAUGACCAGAAUAAUGACAACACAGGAGUAAUUCAAUGCAGAUCGGUG